rnacentral:lncRNA from 1 species
AAAAUCUUAAUUGUAGUGUGUGUCUUGUUAGUUUUCAAUUAUUACAUCACAGCUCCAAUUUACCUCUCAAUACUUGCUGUAGGAUAAUGCAUUUCCUUUCAACACCCCGCCUUCUCCACAAGCAGGGUGUGGUGUGAAGCUUCUAGUAGAGGCUUUUGCGGAAUGCUGCAGAGGGAAAGGCCUGUGCUGUGGACGCUAACUUCUGCAUGGGGAAGGGGAGAAGGGCGUGAGGACACGGGAUGCUGCACCCCAACAUUCACCGUGCUCCUGACCUGGGUAUUACCCCAGGCCUCCUGCCUGUGCAAGCACCCUGACUCCUCUCCUCCCUGAGCCGUGUCUUGCCCCAGGUUGUAUUCCAAGGUCUUCCGGACACUGUGGCCUUCAAAACAGGGACACUGUGCUCUCCAGUGCUUCUGAGCCACCUCUUCUCCCAGUCUCUGGGUGCCCGCGUGCUCUCCAACCAGCAACGGCUGCCCUGACCGUACCUGCACCGGAGCUCUGCCAGCGCCCGCCCCCGAGGCCCUCCAUGCCCCCACACACUCACCACCCAGCUAACCACAGCUACACCCCGAGGACUACUUUCCACUUGCCUGUGCUCUCUGCACACUAGUAAACCUUUCUGUCAUCCAGUGGGUUACGCUGACAUUUUUUCCAAAAUCUGACCCUAAGCUUAGGGGAGAGGAGUCUCUUUCCAAGUCCGUCCUCCUGUAGGAACUUUGCUCCACCUGCAGUGUACAAGGGAUGUCAAACUUUCGUAUAUUUUAUACUUACUUUUAAAGUCAUGAUUUAGUCGCCUUUGCAUCUAAGCAUCCCCUGGUUAAAUCACUGAGUAGGCUUCCUCAUGGUCAGAACCAGGCUACUGCAUGUAAUAACCUCCAGUUUGGGGUGUGGAAGUCUUGGCACUUUCUUAGCAGGGCCUGGAACUGCUGCUGUGUUUGAGUGCAAGCGUCCUACUCCCACAUCCAAAGUGUCAUCACUGGAAGAGGGGCAUGGAACGAGGAAUAAAAGGCAAGCGGGUCCUGGCCCUUGCACUGCAGUUGAGGGAAUCUGAGGGCAGCAUGCAGGCACCAGCACCGAGGGAAGCUUUGGGCCUAGGCCGCAGUGAUUUUGAACUGGAAAUGGCUACAGCACAGCCUGUGUAGACGAGACAGCUUACUGAAAAGCUGAAUGAAAAUUGUGAACAAGCCGAUCUGUUUGUGAUCUUUCAACAUGGCUGCACAGCAACUCUGCAAAUGCUAGAAGAAAAAAACAAAAAGUAAAAGAACUGUAUGUUUGUCAUCAAUUUAAUGUAAAAAUUUAAAACAUAUUUCAGAAUCUUCCCAAGAAGUGCUAAUGUCACCAUGUCAAAUUGUAGUUAUUUAACCUAAAGGAUUUUUUAUUAUUAUAAAAAAUUAGACAUCCAGAUGAAGGUAGAAUGAAUAUUAUAAAUUUAACAGAUCAUAUUGCAUGAAUGAAAUGCACUCUAAUUUGUGAAGUGCUGUUAUACCUAUUAUAUCACUCAAUCCUGGUAGUAAUCCUAAUGAAAUAUGAGUUCAAACAGGUGUUGAUAUCUCAUAAAUGCUGCAGUAAUGAAGACAGAGGCUCAGAUGGGUUAAAUUAUUACGGAGUCACCCGAGCCCCUGGACCUAUGUAAUAACCCAGUGCCGUUUCCCUUCAGUAUUUACAAGAACUCCUACCUUUCCAAAUGCACAUCAUUUAGCUCUAGUACAGGCACCACGAGCAGAGGGUAUAAUUUCCAUUUCUGUCUUCUGCAGUCAAGCAGAAGUUCCUCUCCUUUGUGCACCGAUAGGAGUGCCGUGGAUCACUGGGCCUUGGAGAAGGGAGGCCUUAAGUGUGCUCCAUUUGCACGAUUGUCCUGCAGCACUUGUGGAUGACUGCACAGCCUUCUAAAGUAUGGGAAGCUAAGACCUCUGGCCAGGGAACUGUCUGAAAAUCUCCUUCAAAAACAAUGCUUGAGGGCCGGGGAUUUAGCUCAGUGGCACAGAGCCUGCCUCACAAGUGCAAGGUCCUAAGUUUGAUCUACAGUACAAAAAAAAGAAAAAAAAAAUAGAGAGAGAGAGAUAAAGAGUUAUAUGGACUGUCCUUGUUAUUCUGGAAGACACAGUCCUCCUGGGUAGGGAUUUGGCAUUGGAUGGUUGUUGGGCAAGACAGUCAGGACCAUGGUCAGCGUAUUGGACCCCAAAGAGAUAGGGCUAGUGUUCAAGGUGAGAAAGUCUUCACGCUUGAAAGAAAGACAGCCAUUUUCACAUUUGGGAUAAUAAAAGAAAUAAGUAGAAUUUUAAAGGUUAUGUAAGUGAAAAAGUUAACGUAUUAAAAUAGUAUAAGGAAUAAAGAACUAAAAAAAUUAAAACCAAAAAUAGCUGAAAUACAAAUGAUAUAAAGAAUAUUCAUAUUCACAUAAACCAAAUGUUGUUAUUGAUUUGGAUAUUUUCUUUUUUGGUACUGGGGAUCGAGCUCGAGUCCUUGCACUUGCGCAGCAGGCGGUGAAACCACUGAGCUAAAUCCCCAGCCUCGAUAUUUUCAUUUUUUGAAAAGCUAAUUUCUGUUGUUUCACAUUAGCAAAUAAAAGCUGCCAGGUAAUCGACCUCCUCAAUAUUAAGGUUGGUAUCUGUAAUUGCAACAAUAAUAACAAUAAAUUCUACAAAUCUUUAUAAUGGUAUUAUUCUUUGAUAAACCCAUUGUAAAUUGAAAAUAUUAUAUGUAAAUUAUCAUUUAAAAUAGCUUACCAGGGCUGGAGACAAUUCAUUGGUCCCCUGCCAUGCAGAAGGCCCUGAGUUCCCAGCCAAGUACAGCCAAAAAAAGGGAAAAUCAGGUCUGAGCAGGUGACACAGCUCAGCACAGCAAAAGAGGCUGGGAAGCCUGAGUCGCUUGUCAUACUGUGCUUGUGUUAGCCCAAGGAACAUUCAAAAUUCAAAAUCUGAGCCAGAUGCGGUGGAGCACGUCUGUAAUCUCAUCGCUCGAGAAGCUAAGGCGGGAGGAUUGCAGUGAGUUUCAGUCCAGCCUGUGCUACAUGAUGAGUUCAAGGCCAGCCCAAGCGACAUAGCAUGAUCCUGUUUCAGACAAAAUUCAAAAUUGGAAGUAAAGUUGCUACGAAAUAUGGAACGCCUUUACACCAUUGUAAGCUGAAGCAUGUAAGUCAGCCAUUGCCUGUAAUGGCAUUAAUCGUGGCUCUGUACCUAACAUUUUUCUAAGAAUUCUACAUGUACCAAGUACAACUUAUACAAUAUAUUUAUUCAAAUAUUAUUCCAGUUGUACAUAUAAAAAAGUACAGGAAGUUUAUGUAGCUUGCUUGAAAAAGAUGUAGAAAAGUACAAAGCAGCGGAGUUGAGGACAUUCAGCUCCACGGCAUUCUCUCUUUCCACUUUCCAGGCCACUGCUGCCAAUAAAAUAAUAGUGGUUCUGCUGGCUCAUUCACUAGAGUUUUGUUUGUUUAUAUUAAAAAAAAUGUUGGCAGCCCAAGAAUUCAUGAGAAUUGCAAACCAGAGCAGAAUUGAGAUUACUGGAAUAAACCAAAUUACUUUGGAUUGAGACAAAACCCAUUCUGUUUUAUAAGAUAAUAGGAAGAAAGCAAAGUUUGCAUCUUUAUAGUGUCAUUAUUUUCACUCCCUGUGGAAAACAAAAUUCCAUUUAAUAAUACUCAAUGACUUUGUGCGAGAAUGAUGAUCACCAUGACACUUGCAGUUGUAAAAUAAAACCUGC